AACCCCCUUCCCAGCGCGGGGCCUUCUGGGAAACGCCAGGCCGGGCGGGCCGCCGGCCGAGUCAAAAAGGGGAAAGAAAUCAACAGCCGAGCUGCAGGGUGGAGGCGGAUCUUCGAGCUGGGAGGAGUCUGUAAGCACCUGUGGGGCUUUCUUUUGAAGGGUUUAAAGUGUGGCGCUUUCCCUUUAUCUUUCCCUUGGGUACAUUUCUGCGAAUGUCCACGAGAGGUCCCUCAGACUCCAACCUGGGCUGCCACGAACUCUAAGAGCACACCGCAAAUCAUCCCCUGCAUUAAGCAACCACUCGCCAAAUGGAAAAGUGUGGGCUCCAGUUUUGGGAAACCUCCCUAACUGCUCGCCCCGACCUGGCUGGGCUGACAAAUCUGGGGAAUAAACUGGAAGUGUCUUCACCGCGAAUGUCUGCAGCCAGAGGAAAUUCUGCUCCAGCGUGCUUUCCACCUGCAAGGAACCGAGGCAGCGUGAAAAGAAAGAACUGGAGGGCUCUCUCUUCUCUUCCUGACGCAUAUGGAUCAGGCUAUCUCCCCACUCCUUACUGACUCUCAGCAGCCCUACACAACGAGCUACGGAGCCAUCUCUCCAUCUAUCCGCCCAUCGAUCCAUCCAUCCCUCUAGAGUCUUGCUACACAGUCCAGCUGGCCUUGAACUCACUAUGUGGCCCAAGCUGGCCUUCAACUUGCAGUCAUCCUCCUGCCUCAGCCUCCCAAGUGCCGGGAUUACUGGGUCGUGAAGUCCUCAUGCACCUCCCCUAAGGUGACACGAGAGGUAACAACCAGCCCAUCACCCUCAAGAGCCUCCACUUGCCUCCUCAGGGCCCUGCCCCCAGCCUUAAACGGGAGAUGGUCCUCCUGCCUCAGCCUCCCGAGCUCUGGGAUCACUGGCAUUGCCACCACACCCAGCUUCAGCAUCAGAAUCUCCAGCUAAAAGUUGAGAGGGAAGAUGUCUGUGCCCUUCUCAUGCAUCAGUUGACAAAGAUGACUUUGGUGUGAAGGCCGGGACCCAGGGCCGGAGUGACCCACAGCUGGCCCUCAAUGGAAGCGGCACCCUAGGGAUGUGUCGCUCCACAUGGCCGGAGUGGUACCGAUGCCCAGACCUGUGACCCAGCCCUUCUGUCCUUUCCCUCCACCUUCCUCUACCUCCCACCACUUUUGUGCCAAAGUCUUAGGAGAAAGUCACAGAGUUGCUCACCGACAUCAGAUGCCUGGAUAACUGAAAAAAUA